CCACUCGUCAGUCGCUUGGGUGGGUUUCCAGUUAGUUAGGCGUGGCUGGGGGCGUAAGGGGUUGGCUGCCCACCCAAUCCCCACUCACGUUUCUCUCUCCCCCAAUCCCCACUCACGGUUCCUCUCCCCCAAUCCCCAUGGUUCUUCUUCCAAUUCCUCAACCCUAGGCCAAUCCCGACCCUGCUCGCCGCCAGCUCCUGCCCCUCUCUCUUCCUCGGCUCCAAUGGAGCGAAGCCGGCGACGCGAGGCCUCCUCCCCUUUCCACGGUUCCUGAGCAGGCGCGCACGCGAGCGCGCAAGGGCAUGCGCGGGGCGGGCUGGUGACCAAGGCGAGGCCAGCAGGUGACGGUGGUGAGGGGCCUAUGCGCGGCGGGCUGCUGCUGUGCUCCGCCUCUCCAUCCCCCCAUCGAGGCGGAGGACGACAUGGCACCAGCGACGUCGCAGGAGCAUGCACCCGAGACGGCCAUCCAUGGCGCUAUUGUUGUCGAUCUGUCUGUCGCUGCUGUGUGCUCCGCCCCGCUGCCCUCCUCCUCUCCUCACUCUCCAUGAGCUCACGCCGAUAUGCCGUGACAUCCCACAAAACCGGCGGCGUGAGGAGGCCGUGGAUGGCGCUACUACUGCACGAUUCGUCGCCACUGAGAUAUAUCAUGUAAUUUCACUUGGAGAGGAGAAGAGAAGCGAAGAGGAAGUGGAAGAGGAAGUGGCAGAUCUAUGGGAGAAUCCCAAAAUACAUAUAUUUGAAUUUGGUACCCACCUAAAUGUGCAUAUGGUAUUCCCGGAAGAUGUUAUAUUGGUUGCUUGGAUUCUCUCGGAAUGCUAUUCUAUAUGUACGUAUGAGCGUCGAACAUAGGUGUACCUGCCAUAUGUAUGGAGCUUAUAUGCUCCUAUUGCGGAAAAUAAUCGAGUAUGAAGAAAAUAAUAUGACGCUGGUCUGUCCCUAAUCCCUUCUUUCAUGCCCAGGUGAGUUCAGAUGUUCUACUUCUCAUAGCUGCUUAUGAGUCAUAUUUACAGAUCUGUAAUGAUUAUGUAAUUAUAUUUUGUAUUGCCGCUUUUCAUUUUUAUUCUAGGUCAUUUGUUCAACCAAAAAAUAUGUUGGUCUUAUACCUUUUAUCUAAUGAAAGUUUUUCCAAAAUUGCUAACAUUAUGCCUCAGUAUUCCUGAAGUUACGUAUAUGAUUUGCUAUGAUUUUUUUUAUCUCCCUUUGGUUAUCAUUCAUCAAAUGUUUUAAUGAAGAUGUUCAUGUUCU